rnacentral:rRNA from 1 species
AAAACACAAACGAACGCUGGCGGCGUGCCUAACACAUGCAAGUCGAACGUGAUCCGCCCUUCGGGGUGGUGAAAGUGGCGCACGGGUGAGUAACGCGUGGAUAAUCUGCCCGAGGAUUUGGGAUAACAUCUCGAAAGGGGUGCUAAUACCGGAUAAGCCCACGAUGUCUUUGGACAUUGCGGGAAAAGGGGGGGACUUUCGGGCCUUCUGUCAUCAGAUGAGUCUGCGUACCAUUAGCUAGUUGGUGGGGUAAUGGCCUACCAAGGCGACGAUGGUUAGCUGGUCUGAGAGGAUGAUCAGCCACACUGGAACUGAGACACGGUCCAG